AGUGAACGCUGGCGGUAGGCCUAACACAUGCAAGUCGAACGGCAGCACAGUAAGAGCUUGUUCUUACGGGUGUCGAGUGGCGGAAGGGUGAGGAAUACAUCGGAAUCUACUUUUUCGUGGGGGCUAACGUAGGGAAACUUACGCUAAUACCGCAUACGACCUACGGGUGAAAGCAGGGGUUCUUCGGACCUUUCGCGAUUGAAUGAGCCGAUGUCGGCUUAGCUAGUUGGCGGGGCCAAGGCCCACCAAGGCGACGAUCGGUAGCUGGUCUGAGAGGAUGAUCAGACACACGGGAACUGAGACACGGUCCCGACUCCUGCGGGAAGAAGCAGUGGGGAAUAUUGGACGAGGGGGGCAAGGCUGAUCCAGCCAUACCGCGUGGGUGAUGAAGGCGUUCGGGUUGUAAAGCCCUUUUGUUGGGAAAGAAAAGCAGCAGGUUAAUACCCCGCUGUUCUGACGGUACCCAAAGAAUAAGCACCGGCUAACUUCGUG
rnacentral:rRNA from 1 species